rnacentral:rRNA from 1 species
UACCGAGGUCUCAAGCGGUGUUCGGAUUCACUGGGCGUAAAGGGUUCGCAGGCGGCCAAGUGUGUGAGGCGUUAAAGCCCGGGGCUCAACCCCGGAAUUGCACCUCAAACUACAUGGCUAGAGUACUGGAGAGGGUAACGGAAUUCAUGGUGUAGCAGUGAAAUGCGUAGAUAUCAUGAGGAACACCAGAGGCGAAGGCGGUUACCUGGACAGUUACUGACGCUCAGGCACGAAAGCGUGGGGAGCAAAAGGG